UGAAUUAACAAGUUAUUUAUUUGUUUAAUGUUACAAAUGUACAUACUAAAAUAAGAAUAUUGUCACUAUUCUCUAUGAAUUAACAAGCAUCGCAGCAACACUGUAUUAACAAUAACUAAGCUCUGGCAUACAAUAGUAAGCGCUUACUAUUGUAUGCUCUGGCAUACUAUUGUAUGCUAGAGCUUCCCCCUAUGGUUUAUUAACUUAUUUGGCGACUGAAAAUACAGUAAUUAUAGUUUGUACAUUUACAUUGAAGCUCGAGGUUUUUUUUUUUCGGGUGCACGCAUCUCAGGCUUGAAUGAGAGCCGGGGCUCGGCUCGUCUCGGGGCUAAUGGCCGAGUCGCGGCCUAACGGCUAACGGCUAGCACAACUGAGUGUGUUGACGAACGAGCGUUUGAAAUCCCACAAAGAGUCAGCCCCCUUCAGGACGCCAUUCGUCACAUUUCAUUAAGGACCAACAAAACAGGCAAAUUGUGUGCGAGGUACAUAAAUGCAGUCAAAGGAUGUGAAAUAUUUGCAAAGAGUACAAUCGGCAGAGGACAAUUUGUUGCUGAAUAUCGGGGAUAUAUGAUAAAUGAUGCAGAAUACUAGAGCAGAAGAUGAGUUUACCACCAAUCAUGUGCUGCGUUUAUGUUUGCAUUCAAGUGGAGAGGGAAAACAUGGUGCAAUGAUGCUUCACAAGAUGAGUCAUUUGGGCGACCAGUGAAUGAUGAACACAGGAGGCCAAAUUGCCAGAUGAAAAGGAUUGAUGUGGAUGGUGUGCCACACCUAUGUUUGUUUGCUUUCAAUGACAUUCAAGAGGGAGAAGAAAUGACCGAUGAUUAUGGUGGCGAAGACUGCCCAUGGAGAACACAAAUGACCAGCCUUUACAGUCACAGAUGUGGCUCCUCAACCCUCUGUACUGCCUCAGAGUCAGAUGCAACAUACACCAGAUGACCAAGACAAUACCCAAUGAGACUACUUUAAGAGAAAACUGUUGCGAUACUGCUGGUCCAGGCAACAUACACCAGAUGACCAAGACAAUACCCAAUGAGACUACUUUAAGAGAAAACUGUUGCGAUACUGCUGGUCCAAGCAACAUACACCAGAUGACCAAGACAAUACCCAAUGAGACUACUUUAAGAGAAAACUGUUGCGAUACUGCUGGUCCAAGCAACAUACACCAGAUGACCAAGACAAUACCCAAUGAGACUACUUUAAGAGAAAACUGUUGCGAUAAUGCUGGUCCAAGCAACAUACACCAGAUGACCAAGACAAUACCCAAUGAGACUACUUUACAAGAAAACUGUUGCGAUACUGCUGGUCCAGGCAACAUUCACCAGGUAUAGUCAUAUCCAUCACUGUUUCAUGAUAUUUGGUAUCUCUAUAUCUGUGCAUUUGUGAUGAUGGACAGUAAUUUUCAUGAUAAAGUACUGUAUUUACGCACAACAGGCAAUUUCACAUAAUGCAUUAGGAAGGUUAGUGUUAGUAGACUGUAUUAGGAAGAUUGAAUUUAUCACAGGGAUUUCGUCUUUUGUAGUAAUUUCUCUUUUGUGGACAGUCACGGUGUCCCCACACCACUCGUUGACUAAGUUUGUGUGAGGGGUGGAAACUGUGUCAAGAGUUUCAAUAU